rnacentral:lncRNA from 1 species
UACUCCACUAUUAACAAUAUAUAAAUAACUUUUAUUAUCAACUUUUUUUACCUUUCUAUUAUUACCAUUCCGCCAAUCACCGUCAAAUUUUAGAUAUACUAGUUAUAGUGCACGUGCAUUGCACGUAACAUUUAAUUAAAUUAAAUUUAUAUUUAUAUUUAAAAUUUAAGUAAUUAUUGGUGGUAUAAAUUUAUUUAUUAGUUAAUUUUUUUCUAAUAUUAAUUUUUUUAAUGUGUAUCCAAAUUUUAAAAAUUUGAAGUAAUUAUAAAUUUUAAAUUAAUACAUUUAGAUUUAAAUUUAUGAAUAAAACUCAAAUUUUGAAAUUAAUUUUGAAUCCAUUAUUUCAAUAUAAAUAAUUAUUAAAGACAUUAAUUUAUUUAUCAUCCCAUCUAUUUUUCAAAAUUGAUAUAUUUUCAAGUUAAUUAAUUAUUUUCAAUGUGAAAUACUGUUUACACACCCAAAAUAUUAAAAUUUUAAUUAAUUUCAAAUUUUAAAUUAAAAUAUUAAUUCACAUUUGAAAUUAUGAACCAAAUUUAAAAUUUAAAGUUGAUUUGAUAAGCUUAUUUAAAUCAUUUUAUUUUUCAAACCUUUUUUUUAAUUAGCUAAUUGAGAGAUAGUAGAUACAAAAUAUUUUCAAUGUUUGUUGCAUAGAGAUUUUCGUUUUUUUGAUAAGUAUGAAAUAUUAUUUUAUGGGGUGCUUGUGAAAAAUAUUCUACAGCAAAUAUCCUUUAGUUGACAAAAAUUUGAAUAAGUAUAAAUUUUUUUUAAUUCUCACAAAUGAAAUGCAAUAUUUUUUCCGACUAAAAAAAGGUUUGUCAGUGUCAACAAUUAUUUUAAUAAUUAUCUCAAAUCAAUAUCAAUUUGUGAAUCAUAUUUAUCUAUAAAUUUAAAUUUUUAAAUUGUAAAUUUAUAUGUUAUAUUUUAUUGAAAAAAUAUCUCAUAUUUCAAAUAUUAAUAGGUAAAAUUGAGAUAAUUUUUAUAUAUUCACCUUUUAAAAAAUAUGAUUAAAUAUUAUAUAUGCGGAAGGUAUUAUGUGAUUGGAUUUUAUAUAGGUGGCGGAUAUUAUGUGUGAGAAAUAAAAUAUUUAGAAAUGCGAAUAUUAUUUGUUAUAAAAUAUGAUAUUAUGUGGGCGGCGGUUAUUUGAGGACAAUUUAGGUAAAAAAAGUGACAGAUACUUAAUUCGUUAGUCAUUGGAUUAGAUCUAAUGACUAAGAAUUAAUAUAUGUUAUGAUAAUUUAAAAAUAAAAUAAAAAUUGUACGACUGUGAUUUUUGAAUGAAUGAUAUUAUUAGUAUGUGAUUGAAAUUAUAUUAAUAGGGACCGGCAUUUUGGGAAAGAGAAAAAAAUUCAAAACUCACGCUUUUAUAAGUAGUAUAGGUAUAGAUAAUAGUUAAAAAGUUGAUAGCAGAUAUUUUUUUCAU